UUAAGUUCAGCGGGUAUUCCUACCUGAUCCGAGGUCAACCUUGUAAAAAUUGGGGGUUUUACGGCAGGCGCCCGCGCCACUCCAUAGCGAGGUUAGUUACUACGCUCGGUGUGGACAGCGAGCCCGCCACUGGUUCAGGCCUGCGUCGGACGCAGGUCCCCAACACAAGCCCGGGGCUUGAUGGUUGAAAUGACGCUCGG
rnacentral:misc_RNA from 1 species